UACGUAGGGUGCAAGCGUUAAUCGGAAUUACUGGGCGUAAAGCGUGCGUAGGCGGUUGCGCAAGACAGGUGUGAAAUCCCCGGGCUUAACCUGGGAAUUGCACCUGUGACUGUGCGGCUGGAGUGCGGCAGAGGGGGAUGGAAUUCCGCGUGUAGCAGUGAAAUGCGUAGAUAUGCGGAGGAACACCGAUGGCGAAGGCAGUCCCCUGGGCCUGCACUGACGCUCAUGCACGAAAGCGUGGGGAGCAAACAGG
rnacentral:rRNA from 1 species